UUAAAUAAAGUUUUAUUUAAACUCUAAGUCGCGCGUUGAUGACGUCUACAAGGAGCGCUGUGUUUGGAGGUUCAUGUUCGUGAACCGGCGGGGUUGAUGACAUUUACGCGCGUCUGAAGGCAUCGCUCGUGCAGGGCUGAACUCUCCACACCGCCGGAUUCGGUCCGGUCCGGUUCCAGACGCCCAGAUCCGCCAUCUUGGUUUGGUUCGGGAGGUCAUCCGGCGGUUCUGAUUCCAAACCGAACCGGAUCGAUGAAUGUGAUCAGAUGUCUGUCAGCCUCAGUUCAACAGUAGGCGUGUUUGAGUUGACCAAGCUGCUGCAGGAGGGGGCGGAGCAAGACACCUGAGAUGAAGGUGGACGACGAGACUGUACGAGAACGAGGAGUUGGGGGUUGUCCUCAACAUUCAGAUGAAUUUUAAUACUCCACUCCUCCUAGUAUGAUCUGUGCUGUUAUGUCUUUUAUAGUAUUUUUUUACAUCUCUUAGUAUAAAACAGAUUUAAAAAAAAUAGUCGGGGGAUUCAUUACAUGUACACAGUCCCAAAUAAUCAGAUAAAAUAAAAAUUAAAGUUCAUUUUAAAGACAACUAUGACACAAAUAACCACAGAUUAUUUAAAAUCUUGUAUAU
rnacentral:lncRNA from 1 species